CGGGGGCGUCCCCGCGGGUUAAGCGUGCGAGAGAGCGAGGUGCACCAGCGGGCAUGGAUGGCCUGUGCAGAGUCCAGUCUUGUGAGGGCGGCGAACUAGGCAGCGAAUCGCGGGAGUUUCCUAUUGGCAGCAGUCCGAGUCCCAGACGUUAAUUUGUAACAAAAGUAGCGAUGGCCAAGCCCAUAAAGGGGGCAUCUCGGAAAGCCGUUCGCAUGCACGGAAGAGAUGAAAGCCCCGUGCGCGCUAGAAAACGGUUUCGCAACUCACUUCGGGAAGCAAAUGCGCUGCCCCCCAAAACAUAAAGUUGGCGAACUGUGCCUGACCCCGCUGGGGUUUUGGAAUGCCUCGUCCUCACAGGAAAAAAAUCCAGGGAAAUCAUCUUUUCCUUAAAAAGCAAAAGUGUCCAAAUUAUUUCUGUGACUGAAGUAGUUUGUCUGCGGUUGGCCAGUGACAUGGCAAGGCCUUGUUUGUGCAUUUAAGGUAAAUCAGAUUCUCUUCUAGGAGUCUGGAAGAGAACUUCCCCAAAGGGCACCCUCUUUCCCUUCUGACACAGAGGAAAUACCACAUAUAAAGAGCUACAAAUGUUUGAAGGAGAAAAAAAAUAAAGAAAAAUUCCAGCAUGUUAAAAUUUGAUAUUUUAUGUAGGCCCUUUUCAGCAAUGGUAGUUAAUUCCAAAAAGAACCACACGAGAGGUUUCACAUGUGGGGUCAUCCAUCCUUCCAGGGAUGCAGAAGGUUCCUACACAUACUAGGUGUCUGAUGAAUGUGAGCUCCCUUCCCCCUGCUUACCUCCUCCAUAGGAAUGCAUGCCUAUCCAGAAAAACACAAAACACACGCAUGUCAGGCCUCUGAGCCCAAGCCUGCACAUAUACAUCCAGAUGGCCUGAAGCAACUGAAGAAUCACAAAAGAAGUGAAAAUGCUGAAGCAACUGAAGAAUCACAAAAGAAGUGAAAAUGGCCGGUUCCUGCCUUAACUGAUAAGACAGUCACCUGUCCUCCUGCUCUUUGCUCUGUGAGAAAGAUCCACCUACAACCUCGGGUCCUCAGACCAACCAGCUCCAGGAACAUCUCACCAAUUUUAAAUUGGGGUAGACCAUCCAGUACUAUGUUAAAUAGCAGUGGUGACUGUACACCC
rnacentral:lncRNA from 10 species